AAUGAACGCUGGCGGCAGGCCUAACACAUGCAAGUCGAGCGAGGACUUCGGUCCUAGCGGCGGACGGGUGAGUAACGCGUGGGAAUAUGCCCUUUGGUACGGAAUAGCCUCGGGAAACUGGGGAGUAAUACCGUAUGUGCCCUUCGGGGAAGAUUAUCGCCAAGGAUUAGCCGCGUUGGAUAGGUAGUUGGUGGGGUAAGUGGCCUACCAAGCCGACGAUCCAUAGCUGGUUUGAGAGGAUGAUCAGCCACACUGGGACUGAGACACGGCCCAGACUCCUACGGGAGGCAGCAGUGGGGAAUCUUAGACAAUGGGCGCAAGCCUGAUCUAGCCAUGCCGCGUGA
rnacentral:rRNA from 1 species